AGUAUAGAAGGCAAGAGAAGAGGAUAUGAGACAUUAGUAUAGAUGAUAGAAUAGGCUAGUAUAGAGGAGAAUAGGACAGAAGAAAGAAGAAUAGAAGGCAAGAGAAGUGGAUAGAUGAUAUUAGUAUAGAUGAUAGAAGAAACUAGUAGAAAUGACAGGAAAAUAGUAUAGAGGAGGAUAUGACAGAAAAAAGAAUAGAAGACAAGAGAAGGGGAUAGAGGAUAUUCUAGUACAAAUGGUAGAAGAGAAGAGCAUAGAGAAUAGGACAGAAGAAAGAAGAAUAGAAGACAAGACAAGAGGAUAGAAGAUAUUAGUACAGAUGAUCUAAGAGAGUAGUAAGAAUGAUAGAAGAGAUUAGUAUAGAGGAGAAUAGGGCAGAAGAAAGAAGAAUAGAAGACAAGAGAAGAGGACAGAAGAAAUUAGUGCAUAUGAUAUAAGAGAGUAGUACAAAUGAUAGAAGAGAAUAGCAUAGAGGAGAAUAGGGCAGAAGAAAGAAGAUUAGAAGACAAGAGAAGAGGAUAGAAGAUAUUAGUACAGAUGAUAUAAGAGAGUAGUACAAAUGAUAGAAGAGAAUAGCAUAGAGGAGAAUAGGGCAGAAGAAAGAAGAUUAGAAGACAAGAGAAGAGGAUAGAAGAUAUUAGUACAGAUGAUAUAAGAGAGUAGUAAGAAUGAUAGAAGAGAAUAGUAUGCAGGAGAAUAGGACAGAAGAAAGAAGAUUAGAAGACAAGAGAAGAGGAUAGAAGAUAUUAGUACAGAUGAUCUAAGAGAGUAGUACAAAUGAUAGAAGAGAAUAGCAUAGAGGAGAAUAGGGCAGAAGAAAGAAGAUUAGAAGACAAGAGAAGAGGAUAGAAGAUAUUAGUACAGAUGAUAUAAGAGAGUAGUAAGAAUGAUAGAAGAGAAUAGUAUGCAGGAGAAUAGGACAGAAGAAAGAAGAUUAGAAGACAAGAGAAGAGGAUAGAAGAUAUUAGUACAGAUGAUCUAAGAGAGUAGUACAAAUGAUAGAAGAGAUUAGUAUAGAGGAGAAUAGGGCAGAAGAAAGAAGAAUAGAAGACAAGAGAAGAGGACAGAAGAAAUUAGUGCAGAUGAUAUAAGAGAGUAGUACAAAUGAUAGAAGAGAAUAGCAUAGAGGAGAAUAGGGCAGAAGAAAGAAGAUUAGAAGACAAGAGAAGAGGAUAGAAGAUAUUAGUACAGAUGAUAUAAGAGAUAGUACAAAUGAUAGAAGAGAAUAGCAUAGAGGAGAAUAGGACAGAAGAAAGAAGAACAGAAGACAAGAUAAGAGGAUAGAAGAUAUUAGUACAGAUGAUAUAAGAGAGUAGUAUGAAUGAUAGAAGAGAAUAGCAUAGAGGAGAAUAGCACAAAAGAAAGAAGAAUAGAAGACAAGAGAAGAGGAUUGAGGAUAUUAGUACAGAUGAUAUAAGAGAGUAGUACGAAUGAUAGAAGAGAAUAGCAUAGAGGAGAAUAGGACAGAAGAAAGAAGAAUAGAAGACAAGAGGAUAGAAGAUAUUAGUACAGAUGAUAUAAGAGAGUAGUACGAAUGAUAGAAGAUAAUAGCAUAGAGGAGAAUAGGACAGAAGAAAGAAGAAUAGAAGACAAGAGGAUAGAAGAUAUUAGUACAGAUGAUAUAAGAGAGUAGUACGAAUGAUAGAAGAGAAUAGUAUACAGGAGAAUAGGACAGAAGAAAGAAGAAUAGAAGACAAGAGGAUAGAAGAUUUUAGUACAGAUGAUAUAAGAGAGUAGUACGAAUGAUAGAAGAGAAUAGCAUAUAGGAGAAUAGGACAGAAUAAAGAAGAAUAGAAGACAAGAGAAGAGGAUAAAAGAUAUUAGUACAGAUGAUAUAAGAGAGUAGUACGAAUGAUAGAAGAGAAUAGCAUAGAGGAGAAUAGGGCAGAAGAAAGAAGAUUAGAAGACAAGAGGAUAGAAGAUAUUAGUACAGAUGAUAUAAGAGAGUAGUACGAAUGAUAGAAGAUAAUAGCAUAUAGGAGAAUAGGACAGAAUAAAGAAGAAUAGAAGACAAGAGAAGAGGAUAAAAGAUAUUAGUACAGAUGAUAUAAGAGAGUAGUACGAAUGAUAGAAGAUAAUAGCAUAUAGGAGAAUAGGACAGAAUAAAGAAGAAUAGAAGACAAGAGGAUAGAAGAUAUUAGUACAGAUGAUAUAAGAGAGUAGUACGAAUGAUAGAAGAUAAUAGCAUAUAGGAGAAUAGGACAGAAUAAAGAAGAAUAGAAGACAAGAGAAGAGGAUAAAAGAUAUUAGUACAGAUGAUAUAAGAGAGUAGUACGAAUGAUAGAAGAUAAUAGCAUAUAGGAGAAUAGGACAGAAUAAAGAAGAAUAGAAGACAAGAGGAUAGAAGAUUUUAGUACAGAUGAUAUAAGAGAGUAGUACGAAUGAUAGAAGAGAAUAGCAUAUAGGAGAAUAGGACAGAAUAAAGAAGAAUAGAAGACAAGAGAAGAGGAUAGAAGAUAUUAGUACAGAUGAUAUAAGAGAGUAGUACGAAUGAUAGAAGAUAAUAGCAUAUAGGAGAAUAGGACAGAAUAAAGAA
rnacentral:lncRNA from 1 species